rnacentral:rRNA from 1 species
AGUGAACGCUGGCGGUAGGCCUAACACAUGCAAGUCGAACGGCAGCACAGUAAGAGCUUGCUCUUACGGGUGGCGAGUGGCGGACGGGUGAGGAAUACAUCGGAAUCUACUUUUUCGUGGGGGAUAACGUAGGGAAACUUACGCUAAUACCGCAUACGACCUACGGGUGAAAGCAGGGGAUCUUCGGGCCUUGCGCGGAUGAAUGAGCCGAUGUCGGAUUAGCUAGUUGGCGGGGUAAAGGCCCACCAAGGCGACGAUCCGUAGCUGGUCUGAGAGGAUGAUCAGCCACACUGGAACUGAGACACGGUCCAGACUCCUACGGGAGGCAGCAGUGGGGAAUAUUGGACAAUGGGCGCAAGCCUGAUCCAGCCAUACCGCGUGGGUGAAGAAGGCCUUCGGGUUGUAAAGCCCUUUUGUUGGGAAAGAAAAGCAGCAGGUUAAUACCCCGCUGUUCUGACGGUACCCAAAGAAUAAGCACCGGCUAACUUCGUG